rnacentral:misc_RNA from 1 species
AAAAACAAUCAAUACAUGUUCAUUAGCCAUAAGCAAGGAAACAAGUGCAAAACACAUCAAAAGCAGAGCAAGAAGAUAGCUGUCCUGAUGCUGCACUAUGAUAUAUGUAAGCAUACAUAUCAAAAUGAAGCUCAAGCAGCCUAAAUUAUUAAAAGAGCACCAAUCAACGUUAUCAUUUCUCAUGUACUUAGAAAGAGGGAAAAUUAUAUGAUUGGUUAUUUGAAACGUAGAAUAUAGUUGAAGGAUCAUUCUCCACUCCUUCCUCUUGAAGAAUUUGAAUGACCCACAAAACUAAAAUCAUCACGAGCACCUAUAAAACCCUAAUUGAAUGAUCUAACCCAAAAAUACACUUAACAAAAAAAAAUUCCAAUCACAAUUCACAGAAAUAAAGCAUUAGUUGCAUACAUUCAUACACACACAAUUGGGAACUAGAACACCAAGUUGACUGUAUAUGAUACCGAUAAAAUGGGAGACAUAAUAAAACAACAGAUCACUGCACACCCG